rnacentral:tRNA from 1 species
CUCAGCGUGGUGCAAUGGUAGCAUUCUCCUACCGGUGUCUUCGGGCCUGGUGUAACUAUGAUGUUGACGGAGAGCUAUAGGUUCGAUUCCUAUCGCUGAGA